AGGGUUACAGUGUAUAAUUAAAAAUCUGUUGUCCUAAAAAGAAAACUACAUUUCCUGGGAGCCCACUGACUUCCUGUUGUUACGUACUUCCUGUAGACAGAGAAUAAAUUCAGUGGGUGUGCCUGCUCUGUCCUCUUCGGCUUCCUGUUGGCGGGCAUGGUGGUGGGGAACAGGAACAAGAAAGCUUGUGACAUCUGACCACAUACAUGAAGAAGUCUCUCCUGGCACCAUAAAAAAGGAGACAUAACUUCAGGAGAGAAGAAAUUCAUGUUGGAGGAAGAAAGAAAAAGAGUUGUGGAGUGAAGAGAAAGGAGACCUAAGAAGAAGAAAAGGACAGUUUUCUGCUCCUCUGAUCACUAGGGAGAGAGAGGCUGAACCGAGAAAAGGCACUCCAAAUCCAGACUGGGAAGCCAACGCUCCUCCUCCAACACCAGGAAGGAAGUCAGGAAAGGAAGGCAGGAAGGAAGUGCUAGUCACAAGACCCAACUGCCACUCCCAGUUGCCCCUUCCCCCACCAACUGUAAGUCUUGACAAUUUCUUCUCCUUUGAUAUUCCCACUGUUGUUUGUUCAAACACAGUGGCAGAAAGUUCAGAACUUAUUACUAGUUUCCUUUCCACAAGAGAAAGCCUCUAAUCUUCAAGGACCUCUAUAGUUGCUCUGGUCUUAAGCUAAUGAACUAUUAUCACAUUAGUGAGAUUCCAUUCCAAGCAUUGUCUUCGUUAUGAAAGUGUCUAAUUCGCAAGGUUGUUUAGAAAUAUUCCUGAGAUAAUGAUGCAGGUCCUCUUAAUACCCUUUGUGGCUCCAUGAUUGUAUUGUUUUAGCCAGUGAUGAAAUGCAACUCUAUAUACAUUGUGUAAUUAGAAAACCUUGAACCCUCGGACUCCAUCUUCCAGAAUUCUAUUUCUCGUCCCAAAAUUCCUUUUCUCUUCAUGGUCACCAUAAAUGUAAGCUUAAAAUUAAUAUAUGAUAACUCCAAGUAUCAUAUUUAAUGAAGUUUAUUAAUAAUAACUUGAAGUAAAAGGAAUAAAAAGACAAAAUUAAAAGCCUGAUUAGAACCA
rnacentral:lncRNA from 1 species